AUGAGUCAUCCCCAACACUGCAUCGUCCGUCCACGCGCUGAACAUAGGGAGCAGCGUCUCCAUGGCCUUCCUUGUUGUGCACAAGCAGAGAUGAGUCGGGCCUGCACACAACAGCGCGCACGCACACAUCAAAUCGAGAAGAAGAAGAAGAAGAAGAAGAAGAAGAAGAAGAAGAGAAGGGGAUGCACUCACGCAUCAAAUGCUGUUCUUGGAGGGGAUCCUGCUAGCUUGACCUGCCGUUGGAAGGAGGGGCUAGGGUUUCGGGCGGCGGUUGAGUACCAUAUAACUGGAAUUAACCGAUGCAACUCCAAGAAGGAAUGGUCGGUGCUGCCGGCUGGUGUCAAGUGCGAUCCCACGGAUCAGGAGCUGAUCGAGCAUCUUGAGGCCAAAGUGAGUGCUGACAGCGCGAGAUCUCACCCUCCCAUCGAUUUGUUCAUACCAACCAUCGACAGCGAGCACGGCAUAUGCUACGCCCAUCCUGAGAAACUUUCAAGUAUCACACUGAGUGUCCUAAGCAAGCAUUUCUUCCAGCGCAAUUCCAGGGCGUUCAAAAGGGGCACGUGGAAGCGUCGCAAGAUACAGUCAAAGUGCGGCAUGCACGCGAUGUGGCACAAGACCGACAAUACCUUGCCGGUGAUGGUCAACGGCCGGCAGAUGGACAGCAAAAAGGUUCUGGUGCUGCACACCAAUAGGAACUUCGACCAACAGAGGACCAACUGGGCUGUGCACCAGUACCACCUCGGGGACUUGGAGCAAGAGAAGCAUCGGGAGAUGGUCCUCUGCAAGAUUUUCUACCAGACGAACACUAGGGCCAUGACUAAAAAGAUUACAAGUUAG
rnacentral:rRNA from 1 species